GAAAGAAUGGAACAGUAUUGUCCAAACACUGUAACAGAGCAACAGACAAAGCAAAGAACAAGAUGAGAAAUGGCCAAAUUCAGCACAGUACUGUAACGCACGGCUGCUUAGAAAAAAUCCAAGGAAUACAAUUCUUGUGACUUCUUGCUAGACGCUAGUUCACAAACACCUUGUCGUCUUGGUGAAGGAUCCCAAGUUCACAUCCUGCAACAGCUGGUCUUUGCAUGAUUGGUCACCACCUUGCUGCAAUACAAUUGAUUGUUUCUUAUCCUAUCGACGUACUAGCAAAUUAAAGAAAAGAAAAGAAUCAGUGGGCAACUAGGGCAAGCAAUUGACCGAUGUGAAUGCGACGUGUGAUGGAGGAUCCUCGCUCCUGCUUUGGCUGUGCAGAUCCUCGCCGAGAUC
rnacentral:lncRNA from 1 species